CCUGAUGUCCAGCUGGAAUCUGGCUUCCUGUAACUUGAGCCCGUUAUUCCGUGUCCUGCACUCUGGGAGGAUCGAGAAGAGAUCCUGGCCCUCCUCUGUGUGACAACCUUUUAAUAUUUGAAGAGUGCUCUCAUGUCUCCCCUCAAUCUUCUCUUCUCCAGGCUAAACAUGCCCAGUUCUUUCAGUCUCUCUUCAUAGGGCUUUGUUUCUAGACUUCUGAUCAUCCUGGUUGCCCUCUUCUGAACAUGCUCCAGCUUGUCUGCGUCCUUCUUGAAUUGUGGAGCCCAGAACUGGACGCAAUACUCUAGAUGAGGCCUAACCAGGGCCGAAUAGAGAGGAACCAGGACUUCACGUGAUUUGGAAGCGAGGUAUUUCACAUGCAGCAUCAUGAAACGGAUUAUCCUGGAGAGACGGAAGGCAGAAGAAGAAGAGAGAGAGAGGAGGAAUGGGGAGGAAGCCGGUGAAGCUCAGCCUUCAGCACGUCGUCCCACUGCGCCCCACUGAGGAGAGGAGCGCGGCUUCGCCUUCCUGUCCUGGGAUAAGCUGCCGGUCAGAUCGCUGGAGGCCCCAGGGAGUCCGGAGCGCUGGGGCGCCCCCUGGUGUCACGCAGCGAGGUUUCCAUGUCGAGAAAUGUGUGAGGUCCAGGAAACAGGGGUGUCUCAGUCGGAGAACUUCAUUAGGCCGUACUGGAACCCCAGCAGGACUGGAUUUGGGCCCCAGGCCUGAGGUGUGACCCCCAGUGCAGCAGGUCAAAAAGAAGAAAAAAAAGGCUUGUGAAUAAAUCUGCUCUGCUGCAGGAGGUUGAGGUUUUGGGGUGGGCAGGACCAGGCACCCAAAGAGGGCUGCAGGUGUCGGGGAGGCAGGGCAGAUCCUUCGCUUGAAUGGCACCCGCCUGAAUGGCAUUGACUUGUAUGAGAUAGGCGGGAGAAGGCAGGCAAGGCUUCCUGACUUUUCAUUUGGACAACGGAUAGGAAAAUAGGAGCCUGGGAGGCGUGAGAGAGAGAGAACGAAAAAGAACCACCAGCCUCCCAUGCAUUUGGUGGGAACGUCAGGCAGAGGAUCCCCGGCUUUAUUCCAGAGAUUGUGCAACUCCCGCUUAUCACUUCCUGCCUGCCAGCGGCUUCGAGAUGUUGCUAACCAUCGAGCUGCAGCCUUUAACUGGAAGAUCCGGUCCUGGCUCCGGGAUCUGAAGGGCCCAUGGGCAGGGCACCUUCAGCAGCCCCCCUUCCUGAGCGGGCUGGCCUUCUCAGCGCCAUUAUCCCCGGGCAUUCUUGUUCCUCUUUCUCCUCAUGGCUCCCGCUUGCUCUCGCUCGACAGGCAGAGAGCCAGGGAGGAGGUAGGCCUGGGCCAGAGCGAAAGGCAGGGGAACAAGCAAUUUGCAAUAUGAGGGCUUUCUCCGCUGUGGCACCCCGGUUGUCAAACGA